UGUGUCGCCAAGGGGACAGCCUACCAUGCAGUCGAGCGGAUGAUGGGAGCUUGCUCCUGGAUUCAGCGGCGGACGGGUGAGUAAUGCCUAGGAAUCUGCCUGGUAGUGGGGGACAACGUUUCGAAAGGAACGCUAAUACCGCAUACGUCCUACGGGAGAAAGCAGGGGACCUUCGGGCCUUGCGCUAUCAGAUGAGCCUAGGUCGGAUUAGCUAGUUGGUGGGGUAAAGGCCUACCAAGGCGACGAUCCGUAACUGGUCUGAGAGGAUGAUCAGUCACACUGGAACUGAGACACGGUCCAGACUCCUACGGGAGGCAGCAGUGGGGAAUAUUGGACAAUGGGCGAAAGCCUGAUCCAGCCAUGCCGCGUGUGUGAAGAAGGUCUUCGGAUUGUAAAGCACUUUAAGUUGGGAGGAAGGGCAGUAAGUUAAUACCUUGCUGUUUUGACGUUACCAACAGAAUAAGCACCGGCUAACUUCGUGCCAGCAGCCGCGGUAAUACGAAGGGUGCAAGCGUUAAUCGGAAUUACUGGGCGUAAAGCGCGCGUAGGUGGUUUGGUAAGAUGGAUGUGAAAUCCCCGGGCUCAACCUGGGAACUGCAUCCAUAACUUGCCUGACUAGAGUACGGUAGAGGGUGGUGGAAUUUCCUGUGUAGCGGUGAAAUGCGUAGAUAUUGGGAAGGAACACCAGUGGCGAAGGCGACCACCUGGGACUUGAUAC
rnacentral:rRNA from 1 species